GUGCCAGCCGCUGCGGUAAUACGUAGGGUCCGAGCGUUGUCCGGAAUUAUUGGGCGUAAAGGGCUCGUAGGCGGUUUGUCGCGUCGGGAGUGAAACCCACAGCUUAACUGUGGGCCUGCUUUCGAUACGGGCAGACUUGAGGCAUGCAGGGGAGAACGGAAUUCCUGGUGUAGCGGUGAAAUGCGCAGAUAUCAGGAGGAACACCGGUGGCGAAGGCGGUUCUCUGGGCAUGUUCUGACGCCGAGGAGCGAAAGUGUGGGGAGCGAACAGGAUUAGAUACCCUGGUAGUCCACACCGUAAACGUUGGGCGCUAGGUGUGGGAUCCAUUCCACGGGUUCCGUGCCGCAGCUAACGCAUUAAGCGCCCCGCCUGGGGAGUACGGCCGCAAGGCUAAAACUCAAAGGAUUGACGGGGCCCGCACAAGCGGCGGAGCAUGCGGAUUAAUUCGAUGCAACGCGAAGAACCUUACCUGGGUUUGACAUACACGGGAAAGCUGCAGAGAUGUGGCCCCUUUUUGCCGUGUACAGGUGUGCA
rnacentral:rRNA from 1 species